rnacentral:rRNA from 1 species
GACGAACGCUGGCGGCGUGCUUAACACAUGCAAGUCGAGCGGUAAGGCCCUUUCGGGGGUACGACGAGCGGCGAACGGGUGAGUAACACGUGGGUGACCUGCCCUCAGCUCUGGGAUAAGCCUGGGAAACCGGGUCUAAUACCGGAUAUGACUCCAUGACGCAUGUUGUGGGGUGGAAAGCCUUGUGCGGCUGAGGAUGGGCCCGCGGCCUAUCAGCUUGUUGGUGGGGUGAUGGCCUACCAAGGCGACGACGGGUAGCCGGCCUGAGAGGGCGACCGGCCACACUGGGGACUGAGACACGGCCCAGACUCCUACGGGAGGCAGCAGUGGGGAAUCUUGCGCAAUGGGCGAAAGCCCUGACGCAGCGACGCCGCGUGAGGGAUGACGGCCU